AGCAGCCGCGGUAAUUCCAGCUCCAAUAGCGUAUAUUAAAGUUGUUGCAGUUAAAAAGCUCGUAGUUGAAUUUCGGGAUCAGUACGCUGGUCGUGCCUUUGGUAUGUACUGGUGUCACUGAUUCCUCCCUUCUGAAGAACCGUUAUGCCAUUUAUUUGGUGUGGCGGGAAAUCAGGACUGUUACUUUGAAAAAUUAGAGUGUUUAAAGCAGGCUCGCGCUUGAAUACAUUAGCAUGGAAUAAUGAAAUAGGACGUUUGAUCUUAUUUUGUUGGUUUCUAGGAUCGACGUAAUGAUUAAUAGGGAUGGUUGGGGGCAUUAGUAUUCAAUUGUCAGAGGUGAAAUUCUUGGAUUUAUUGAAGACUAACUACUGCGAAAGCAUUUGCCAAGGAUGUUUUCAUUAAUCAAGAACGAAAGUUAGGGGAUCGAAGACGAUCAGAUACCGUCGUAGUCUUAACCAUAAACUAUGCCGACUAGGGAUCGGAUGAUGUUAUUUUAAUGA
rnacentral:rRNA from 1 species